rnacentral:lncRNA from 1 species
UAGACCCUUCUACAACGAAAUUUGUUUUACAUGCACACGUAUAAAAAUUGCGGUUUUUAUCCAACGCAAUCAUAGGUUUGAACGUAGUUUUAAAUUUAGACUCGUUUAUAUUUUUUCGUUUGGGCUUGUAUCAUAUUUUUCCUCCAGUUUAUAUGAUCCGUUCAUCCUAUAUUGACUCUUAAAAUUCAAGAGUCUAUCUAAAAAUGAGGGUACUUUUUAUAUGGCCUUCCAAAUACCGUUUCGAUCCCUAACAUCACUGAAGAGACAUUUAUUGUCGAAAUCCGGAUCUGGUUUACUAAAAACAUAUUGACACCGUAUGUUUGUGGCAUAACAUCGUGGCCACAAGUUAUUUUUUUUUUGUUUAGUAUUAAAUUUAUAUUAAGAUCCAUUUUGUUACAUCUUGUGAUCAAUUUUAUUUGGCAAUCGCCAAUGGCAGUCAGCAGGGUUAAAGAAUAUCAGUUGAUCGACCUGUUAGUCAAAUGCGUUUUGUUUAAAUAUACUUUUUCACUUUUUUGGUCUUUUGGAAAAUGUUGUUUGUGCUGUUUUUAGACCCUUCUACAACGAAAUUUGUUUUACAUGCACACGUAUAAAAAUUGCG